CCUACGGGGGGCAGCAGUGGGGGAUAUUGCACAAUGGGGGAAACCCUGAUGCAGCGACGCCGCGUGAGUGAAGAAGUAUUUCGGUAUGUAAAGCUCUAUCAGCAGGGAAGAAAAAAGACGGUACCUGACUAAGAAGCCCCGGCUAACUACGUGCCAGCAGCCGCGGUAAUACGUAGGGGGCAAGCGUUAUCCGGAUUUACUGGGUGUAAAGGGAGCGUAGACGGCAAUACAAGUCGGAAGUGAAAUACCCGGGCUCAACCUGGGAACUGCUUUGGAAACUGUAUGGCUGGAGUGCGGGAGGGGCAGGCGGAAUUCCUGGUGUAGCGGUGAAAUGCGUAGAUAUCAGGAGGAACACCGGCGGCGAAGGCGGCCUGCUGGACCGCGACUGACGUUGAGGCUCGAAAGCGUGGGGAGCGAACAGGAUUAGAUACCCCAGUAGUC
rnacentral:rRNA from 1 species